rnacentral:lncRNA from 1 species
UGGCCAAUCGCAAAGCCCAAUCGCGUCCUGCAAAACAUCCUGGAAAGACUUCAUUUGGGGUUUAUUAGAAAUAAGUGAAAAGACCAAUGUUUCCUUUUUAACAUUUCCAGACACAACUAAAAUAUGUAUGUCCAUUUUUUGAACAGCCCAUUAAUUUUUUCUCAUUAAAAUGUGUUUGUAAAACCUCUAGUCCCAAGGCUAAUCUAUAGGAAUCAGAUUGUUUCGCGUUUUCAUUUUAGGCUUGGGUGUUACUUGGUUAGGCAAAAAGAAUACGCAAUUGGUUGUAAUAGAAAAUAAAGGAAAAAUUAUCAAAUGAUUUUUCUUUUUAAACUAGGAAACUUUUUAGCCGCGCUGGACAUUUAAAAAAUUAUGACCCGCUUCCUUUUAAAAGAAAAAAGGCCACAAAAGCGUGAGAAUGCAGAAAGCGAGGAUUUAAAGUGGUAGGACGCCCCCUCCACCACCAGCCCCCGCUCCCAGAAAUAUCAGCAAUACGGUUCUGGGAAAGCAAGAGCGGGCAUCUUCCAUUCUGAGGAACGAAUGGGGUCCCUCCUCGGGAACGCGCAGGGGGCAGCUGCCCGCGCCUCGGGGACCGCUCGGCUCCGCGCUCAGCUGGCCGGCUCUGCCCGCUGCAGACCCGCGCCGGCGUCGUGGCGGCCCGGCCGGUGCAACGGCCUCGGGGAUGCCCCCCGGGCUGCGCGCGCCCGCGGCGGGGAGGGGAGUCCCCGCACCGGGUUGAGACGACUUUCCUUCCUCAGCUUCCCCGCCCUCUCUCUCCGAAUUCUUGAAUUCUUCAGCCCGGGCCGCCGCUGCCCUCCUGGUCCCUCCGGGCCGCACGCGCGGCAGGGAGCGAGCAGCAUCCGGUCCCUUCCGGAGCGCGCAGGCGGCGCCUUCUCAGCGUGCGCCCGGGGUGGGUCGACAGCGACCGGGACGGGAGGCGGGAGCGUUCCCGGAGGCUGCGGAGAGCCCCGCUUUGUCUCAAGGGACCGCUGGGCAGUUUCCUCCUUUUCCCGCCCGCAUCCCUCUGCUUCCAGGUGCUCCAGGAAGUCGCCGGAGCUGAAGGUGAAGAAACUGAGGCCCAGAAAGGUGCUAGCAGCAAUAGUGAGGGUGGAUGUAAAAGGGAAUACUUUAUAAGCCACUUCCCUGGCUGAAAUGCUAAUUGCCACAAACUGAUCAUCAUUUGAAUGAAGAGUGUUAAAACUGAAAAACAGUGAAUACCAAGUGAGGAAGAUUCACCCUGAGCUAACAUCUGUGCCAGCCUUGCUCUGUUUUGUAUGUGGGAUGCUGCCACAGCAUGGCUGAUGAGCCGUGUAGGUCUGUGCCAGGGAUCUAAACCUGCGAACUCGGGCCGCCAAAGAAGAGCCCGCCAAAAUUCGCCACUAUACCGUGGGGCCAGCCCCCAGAUUGCCAUUAUCUUUAAGAAUAUAUUAAAGGUCAAAUGAAAAAAAUUUUUUGUUUUAGUUCAUAGGCAAGAUGAAAAAAAUUUUUCUUAUUCCCAUUACUAUAAUUUGUGAAGAAAAUGCUGUCUUAGACACAGCCAAGGCAGAAGAAGCUGUUCUGGGGGCCAGAGUUUUUCUCUAACUUUACUGGACCACAGUAGUGGGACCUUGUUAGUAAAGUGAUUUUCUGCUACCUUUAUACCUGUUAGUGUUCCUGUGGGCUGAUGGAGCAGACUAACAGAAUUUUUAGCUGAGCGUUGGACCGCCUGGAAUAAAUACUUCCCAGAUGCCUUUGAGCUAGUGUUGCCAUUUAACUAAGUUCUGGCCAGUGAGAUGUAAGUGGAACUGCCCUGUGGCAGCUUGAGAACGUUCCUGAAGAGAAGGCUGGGACAUGUUUUUUGUCAGUCUUCUCUCACAUUCCUCCAUCUUCCUGCCUGGAACACAGAUGUUUUGGACAAUGAAGUUGAAACAUCACAUUAUGAAGGAACCAGAGAAAAAGAGCCGGGCUCUCUGCAUAUGGAGCACCAUAUUAGCCCUGAACUGCCUGCAUGGACUUUAAAACAAGAGAGAAAUAAACAUUUAUCCUGCUUAAGCCACUGCAGUUAGGGCUUUCUGUCAGUUCCAGUCAAACCUAACCCUACUGAACGCACCAGCUUUAAGGUUCACUGAGUCCACGUGGGGAGCAAACCACUACCUAUUUAAAAUCCAAUUAAAAAGACAUAGACUGUUUUUCUUUGUUCUUGUGGAUAACACAGAUAAAAAAGAAAAACAAACAAAAAUAGAUAUCAUAGUGGAAAACAUUUUCUACAAUACAGCUGAAACGUAAAGCGGGACCUGAGUUCUUAUCCCAGUUG